AUUUCCCCAAAACCCUACUAAUUUGGAUAAGGAAUAUAUUUCUGCAGCUAUUGUUAGAACUGUAAAAGUGACCCAGAGUUCAGCUCAAAGUUUGCGCAAGCAGGAUUUCAGCUGUCGCUGGACACAGUGCUUGGGUUAUUAACAUCAUUAGAGUCCAGCAGCAGAAGGUGCACGUGCCAGAGAGAAAAUGAGCCACCUCCUAGGAGUUGAGGGGGGCUCAUGCGCUGCUGCUCCAGGCGCCCGGCGAGCUCUGCAGGUGUGACUGCCACACCACAGGUGGAACCGGCGCAGGGUCAGGGGCUGCCUGCUGUGACCUGAGCGUCGUCACGUCCUGACAGUUCCUGUGGCCAUGAGAAAACAAAAAGCUGUCAAACAUUGAACGGAGAGCAGGGCACUGCACAGUGUGUUUCAGCCUGGCUCAGUAGAGCCGAAACAGUGAGAAAUCAGUCCUGGUUCCUUGGGACCUGCUGAAGCAGUGCCAGGUAAGUUUUGCUGCCUGCCCAGGAGCUGCAGCAGCCUCACUUGGUGAAGCAGGUUGCUUUUUUCCCCCCUUCUUUCUCUGUCCAUUCUCUCAGGUUUAGUGCCAGGCCCUUGAUCUCUCUUGUUGCCUGUUUGUCAGUCAUCAUUUGUAUGUAGGCAGUGUAAAUACAUAUCAAGCAGCAAGCUUUGUGGGAGUGUGCUGCUGUGGAAGACCAAGAUCUUAGGGGGAACUGGGAUUCUGAUGGGCCGAAGGACCUGAACUUUGAAACCAGGAAGACUUUGGUCAUUUUUGAGACCUUUAAAAUCCAAUGAUUCAUA